rnacentral:rRNA from 1 species
CCUACGGGGCGCAGCAGUGAGGAAUAUUGGUCAAUGGACGAGAGUCUGAACCAGCCAAGUAGCGUGAAGGAUGACUGCCCUAUGGGUUGUAAACUUCUUUUAUAUGGGAGUAAAAUGUUCCACGUGUGGGUUUUUGUAUGUACCCUAUGAAUAAGGAUCGGCUAACUCCGUGCCAGCAGCCGCGGUAAUACGGAGGAUCCGAGCGUUAUCCGGAUUUAUUGGGUUUAAAGGGUGCGUAGGUGGAUUGUUAAGUCAGUUGUGAAAUUUUGCGGCUCAACCGUAAAAUUGCCGUUGAAACUGGGAGUCUUGAGUACAGUAGAGGUGGGCGGAAUGCGUGGUGUAGCGGUGAAAUGCUUAGCGAUCACGAAGAACUCCGAUUGCGAAGGCAGCUCACUGGACUGCAACUGACACUGAGGCUCGAAAGUGUGGGGAUCAAACAGGAUUAGAUACCCCUGUAGUC